UACGAAGGGGGCUAGCGUUGCUCGGAAUCACUGGGCGUAAAGGGUGCGUAGGCGGGCCUUUAAGUCAGGGGUGAAAUCCUGGAGCUCAACUCCAGAACUGCCUUUGAUACUGAGGAUCUUGAGUUCGGGAGAGGUGAGUGGAACUGCGAGUGUAUAGGUGAAAUUCGUAGAUAUUCGCAAGAACACCAGUGGCGAAGGCGGCUCACUGGCCCGAUACUGACGCUGAGGCACGAAAGCGUGGGGAGCAAACAGG
rnacentral:rRNA from 1 species